GGGACAUUUUCAUCGAGGAAUGGAUGGUUCCCAUGUGGGUUGAUGGACAUGGGAGAUAGUGUUACGGUUCAAAAGGACUCGUAUAGAUCAGGAGUCUUCUAUCUACUCCAUCCCAAUUUCCACCGAGUUAAAGGUGCUGACAGUAAAAUUUCCAACGCUUUGCUUUCUGUGGUGGGCUGGCAGGAGUACUCAUGUGAGUGUUCAAGCAAAAAGUAAGUGAAUUUCAACUUUCAAGAAAUGCUCGCUAACAUGUAUGGGAUUUUGAUCAAGUAGGAACACAUGGCUUUGUUUUAAUCCGUGAUUAAAAUAGCCCCUUCCUACCUUACAUCCUCCAACGAAACAUGGUGCAGGAAAUCUGGAAAAAGCAAAAUAUGGAGCCAUCACUUGGUAUACUUUUCGUGGAAAAAUGAAACUACAACACUUUUCUUUCAUUGCGAGGAAUGUUCAGUAAUCAAACAAACAAAUAAAAGAAGCAAGAAACCAACCAAAGAAGUAGGGAUUAAGCUUUCG
rnacentral:lncRNA from 1 species